AUGAACGCUGGCGGCGUGCUUAAUACAUGCAAGUCGAACGAAGACAGUAGCAAUAUUGUCUGAGUGGCGAACGGGUGAGUAACGCGUUGGUGACCUGCCCCGAAGAGAGGGAUAACAGUCCGAAAGGAUUGCUAAUACCCCAUGUGGUCGUUUGGAUUAGAUGCCCUAUGACUGAACGGAUUUAUUCGCUUCGGGAGGGGCCUGCGUCCCAUCAGCUAGUUGGUAGGGUAAUGGCCUACCAAGGCGAUGACGGGUAGGGGACCUGAGAGGGUGGCCCCCCACAAUGGAACUGAAACACGGUCCAUACACCUACGGGUGGCAGCAGUAGGGAAUAUUGGUUAAUCUGGGAAACCGGGAACCAGCAACGCCGCGUGCACGAUGAAGGCCUUCGGGUUGUAAAGUGCUUUUUGAAAGGAUGAGGAAGGACAGUACUUUCAGAAUAAGCUUCGGCUAACUACGUGCCAGCAGCCGCGGUAAAACGUAGGAAGCGAGCGUUAUCCGGAUUUACUGGGCGUAAAGCGUGUGUAGGCGGUUUGACAAGUUGGAUGUGAAAGCUCCUGGCUUAACUGGGAGAGGUCGUUCAAAACUGUCAGACUUGAGAGUGGUAGAGGGAGGUGGAAUUCCGGGUGUAGUGGUGAAAUGCGUAGAUAUCCGGAGGAACGCCAGUGGCGAAAGCGGCCUCCUGGCCCAUUUCUGACGCUCAGACACGAAAGCUAAGGUAGCAAACGGGAUUAGAGACCCCGGUAGUCUUAGCUGUAAACGAUGUGAACUUAGUGUCGGUGGGUUUAAAUCCAUCGGUACUGAAGCAAACGCGAUAAGUUCACCGCCUGGGGACUACGGCCGCAAGGUUA
rnacentral:rRNA from 1 species